ACCUCUAGCAUUACUAGUAUUAGAGGCACUGCCUGCCCAGUGACACACGUUUAACGGCCGCGGUACCCUGACCGUGCAAAGGUAGCAUAAUCACUUGUUCUUUAAAUAGGGACUCGUAUGAAUGGCACCACGAGGGUUUAACUGUCUCUUACUUUCAACCAGUGAAAUUGACCUGUCCGUGAAGAGACGGACAUGAAGCAAUAAGACGAGAAGACCCUGUGGAGCUUCAAUUUAUUAGUACAACUAAAAACCGUACAAACCAACAGGUCCUAAACCCCUACAUCUGUACUAAAAAUUUUGGUUGGGGCGACCUCGGAGCACAACUAAACCUCCGAAUAAUCCACGCUAAGACUAUACAAGUCAAAGCAAGCUGACACUUACAAUUGACCCAAUAAUUUGAUCAACGGAACAAGUUACCCCAGGGAUAACAGCGCAAUUCUAUUCUAGAGUCCAUAUCAACAAUAGAGUUUACGACCUCGAUGUUGGAUCAGGACAUCCUGAUGGUGCAGCAGCUAUCAAG
rnacentral:rRNA from 1 species